rnacentral:rRNA from 1 species
GUGUCAGCCGCCGCGGUAAUACGUAGGGAGCAAGCGUUAUCCGGAUUUACUGGGUGUAAAGGGCGCGCAGGCGGGAAGACAAGUUGGGAGUGAAAUCCGGGGGCUCAACCCCCGAACUGCUUUCAAAACUGUUUUUCUUGAGUGAUGGAGAGGCAGGCGGAAUUCCCAGUGUAGCGGUGAAAUGCGUAGAUAUUGGGAGGAACACCAGUGGCGAAGGCGGCCUGCUGGACAUUAACUGACGCUGAGGCGCGAAAGCGUGGGGAGCAAACAGGAUUAGAUACCCUGGUAGUCCACGCCGUAAACGAUGGAUACUAGGUGUGGGAGGUAUUGACCCCUUCCGUGCCGGCGUUAACACAAUAAGUAUCCCACCUGGGGAGUACGAUCGCAAGGUUGAAACUCAAAGGAAUUGACGGGG